UUAAGUUGUUGCAGUUCAAAAGCUCGUAGUUGAAUUUCGGGAUCAGUACGUUGGUCGUGCCUUAGGUACGUACUGGUGUUACUGGUUCCUACCUUCUGACGAACCAUCAUGUCAUUCAUUUGGUGUGGCGGGGAAUCAGGACUGUUACUUUGAAAAAAUUAGAGUGUUUAAAGCAGGCUCGCGCUUGAAUACAUUAGCAUGGAAUAAUGAAAUAGGACGUUGAUCCUAUUUUGUUGGUUUCUAGGAUUGACGUAAUGAUUAAUAGGG
rnacentral:rRNA from 1 species